rnacentral:rRNA from 1 species
UGGGGAAUAUUGCGCAAUGGGGGAAACCCUGACGCAGCAACGCCGCGUGAACGAUGAAGGUCUUCGGAUCGUAAAGUUCUGUUGCAGGGGAAGAUAAUGACGGUACCCUGUGAGGAAGCCCCGGCUAACUACGUGCCAGCAGCCGCGGUAAUACGUAGGGGGCUAGCGUUAUCCGGAUUUACUGGGCGUAAAGGGUGCGUAGGUGGUCUUUCAAGUCGGUGGUUAAAGGCUACGGCUCAACCGUAGUUAGCCUCCGAAACUGGAAGACUUGAGUGCAGGAGAGGAAAGUGGAAUUCCCAGUGUAGCGGUGAAAUGCGUAGAUAUUGGGAGGAACACCAGUAGCGAAGGCGGCUUUCUGGACUGCAACUGACACUGAGGCACGAAAGCGUGGGUAGCAAACAGG